rnacentral:snRNA from 1 species
AGCUUUGUGCAGUGGCAGUAUUGUAGCCAAUGAGGUUUAUCCGAGUUGUGAUUAUUGCUUAUUGAACACUUUUCCCAAAACCCUGCCAUGACACCUUGAAAUACAGUUGGCAUUGACAAUUUUUCACAGUCUCUACAAAGA